AGUAAAUUUGACUUUGGUUUAUGUUUUAACUAUUAUAAUUUUGUACAUGUUAUAUAUUUAUAUAUAUAUACGUUUAUUUUUAAAAUGAAUUAUUAUAUUUUAUUAUAAUUUAUUUAAUAUAUUUAUAAUAUAUAUAUUGAAUUUAUUUUGUUAUGUGAUAUUGAAAUAUUAUUUUUAAAACGUUCAGUAUAUUUAUUUAUACAAUGAAUGAGAGUUUUAUAUAGAAAUUAUAAGUUAUGAUUGGUUAAAUUUGUGCCAGCAUCUGCGGUUAUACAAAUGAUUAUAGUUAAAAUUAAUUGGUUGAAAAUAAAGUUAUGUGUAAGUUAAUGUUUGGAGGAAAAUUUAUAAUUGGUUUUAAGGUAAAAUUUUUUAAAUUGAUUGGUAUAUUAUAUAUUUCUUUGGUUAAUUGAAUCUUUGAAAAAUUAUAAAUAAACUAGGAUUAGAUACCCUAUUAUUUUAUUUGUAAAAUUUAAUUAUAUUUAUCUAAGUAUUAUGAAGUAUAUAAUUAAUAUAUGAUAUUAAUUAUUAUUUAAUAUUUAAAACUUAAAAAGUUUGGCGGUUUCACAUAUCCAGUUAGGGGAGUUUGUUAAUAUAAUUUGAUAAUCCACAUUUUAAACUUACUUUUUUUUGUGUUAUAUAUAUAUAUAUAUAUAUAUAUAUAUAUAAAUAGUUUAUAUAUUGCUGUCGGUAGUUUAUGUUUUAAAAUUUAAAGAACUAAUAAAAUUAUUGUUUUGUAUGUCAAGUCAUGAUGUAGCUAAUAAAAAAGGUUUAAUGGACUACUUUAAAUAAUGUUGUUGAUCCGGAUGAUGAAAAUUAAGUUUUGUUUUAAGGGGGACUUAAUAGUAAUUUUAUAAUUAGUAUGUAUAAGUGAAUUAGGUUUUGUGAAGUGUACAUAUCGCCCGUCACUCUUGUUAUUGAAAUAAGAUAAGUCGUAACAUAGUAGAGGUAAUGGAAAUUGUUUCUGGAAUAGGU
rnacentral:ncRNA from 1 species